rnacentral:rRNA from 1 species
GACGAACGCUGGCGGCGUGCUUAACACAUGCAAGUCGAACGGUAAGGCCCUUCGGGGUACACGAGUGGCGAACGGGUGAGUAACACGUGGGUGAUCUGCCCUGCACUUCGGGAUAAGCCUGGGAAACUGGGUCUAAUACCGGAUAGGACUCCUGGCUUCAUGGUUGGGGGUGGAAAGCUUUUGCGGUGUGGGAUGGGCCCGCGGCCUAUCAGAUUGUUGGUGGGGUAAUGGCCUACCAAGGCGACGACGGGUAGCCGGCCUGGGAGGGUGACCGGUCAAACUGGGAAGGAGAUACGGCCCAGACUCCUACGGGAGGGAGCAGUGGGGAAUAUUGCAAAAUGGGCGCAAGCCUGAUGCAGCGACGCCGCGUGAGGGAUGACGGCCUUCGGGUUGUAAACCUCUUUCAGCUAUGACGAAGCGCAAGUGACGGUAGUAGCAGAAGAAGGACCGGCCAACUACGUGCCAGCCGCCGCCGUAA